GUGCCAGCCGCCGCGGUAAUACCGGCAGCCCGAGUGAUGGCCACUCUUAUUGGGCCUAAAGCGUCCGUAGCCGGCCUCGCAAGUCCGUCGGGAAAUCCAGUAGCUCAACUACUGGGCGUCCGGCGGAAACCACUCGGCUUGGGGCCGGAGGACUCGAGGGGUACGUCUGGGGUAGGAGUGAAAUCCCGUAAUCCUGGACGGACCGCCGAUGGCGAAAGCACCUCGAGAGGACGGACCCGACAGUGAGGGACGAAAGCCAGGGUCUCGAACCGGAUUAGAAACCCUGGUAGUCC
rnacentral:rRNA from 1 species